rnacentral:rRNA from 1 species
ACAAUGGAGAGUUUGAUCCUGGCUCAGGAUGAACGCUAGCGGCAGGCUUAAUACAUGCAAGUCGAGGGGCAGCAUGACUGUAGCAAUACAGUUGAUGGCGACCGGCAAACGGGUGCGGAACACGUACAGAACCUUCCUUCGAGCGGGGAAUAGCCCAGAGAAAUUUGGAUUAAUACCCCAUAGCAUAUUGAUGAGGCAUCUUAUUAAUAUUAAAGAUUUAUCACUUGAAGAUGGCUGUGCGGCUGAUUAGAUAGUUGGUGAGGUAAUGGCCCACCAAGUCUGCGAUCAGUAACUGGUGUGAGAGCACGACCAGUCACACGGGCACUGAGACACGGGCCCGACUCCUACGGGAGGCAGCAGUAAGGAAUAUUGGUCAAUGGACGAAAGUCUGAACCAGCCAUGCCGC